rnacentral:ncRNA from 14 species
ACCUACUUAACUCAGUGGUUUAGAGUAUCGCUUUCAUACGGCGAGAGUCAUUGGUUCAAAUCCAAUAGUAGGUA